AGAGUUUGAUCCUGGCUCAGGAUGAACGCGAGUCGGCGUGCCUAACACAUGCAAGUCGUAUGGGGCUUCGGCCCCAUGGCGUACGGGUGAGUAACACGUGGGCACCUGCCCCCAGAUACGGGUAUAAUGGAGGGAAACCUUCGGUAAUCCCCUAUAGGCGCAGGAAGUGCUUUGGAAAGUUCUAGCUGCUAGCUAGAGUGUCUGGGGAUGGGCCUGCGGCUGAUUAGCUAGUUGGUGCGGGUAAUGGCCUACCAAGGCGAGGAUCAGUAGCUGGCCUGAGAGGGCGGCCGGCCACAUUGGGACUGAGACACGGCCCAGACUCCUACGGGAGGCAGCAGUGGGGAAUCUUCUGCAAUGGGCGCAAGCCUGACAGUGCGACGCCGCGUGAAGGAAGAAGGCCACUUUCGGUCGUAAACUUCUUUGCACGGGCACAGGAAGACUGACCGCCCGGGAAGCAAGUAUCGGCUAACUCCGUGCCAGCAGCCGCGGUAAGACGGGGGAUGCAAGCGUUAUCCGGAUUUAUUGGGCGUAAAGCGUCUGUAGGUGGUUUGGUGUGUCUGCUGUCCAAACGCAGGGCUUAACUCUGUGGGGCAUGUGGAGACUAUCAGACUGGAGGCCGGUAGAGGUGGGGGGAAUCCCUCGAGGAGCAGUGAAAUGCUUAGAUACGUGGGAGAAGGCCGGAGCGAAAGCUCCCCACUGGGCCGCGCCUGACACUGAAAGACGAAAGCUAGGGGAGCGAAUGGGAUUAGAGACCCCAGUAGUCCUAGCCGUAAACGAUGGGCACUCGAUGCUGCGCGUGGGACGCGCAGUAUCCCAGCUAACGCGAUAAGUGCCCCGCCUGAGGAGUACGCUUGCAAGGGUGAAACUCAAAGGAAUUGACGGGGGCUCGCACAAGCGGUGGAGCAUGUGGUUUAAUUCGAUGCAACGCGAAGAACCUUACCUGGGCUUGACAUGGUGCCUGCGCGCUCCUAACGGGGUUCCGCACUACGGGCACACACAGGUGGUGCACGGCUGUCGUCAGCUCGUGUCGUGAGGUGUUGGGUUAAGUCCCGCAACGAGCGCAACCCCCAUCUGGAGCCGCUAGGCUGCAGAGACUGCCAAAUACCGAACUUCGGUUCGGAGCUGGAGGAAGGUGGGGAUGACGUCAAGUCAUCAUGCCCCUUAUGCCCUGGGCUACACACGUGCUACAAUGGUCGGGUCAAUGGUUGGCAGGGGACACGUCACCUGUGCCUUUCCGCGGGGGAAGGUUUCCCUAAACCCGGCCCCACUUCGGAUCGUGGGCUGCAACUCGCCCACGUGAAGCCGGAAUCGCUAGUAAUCGCCGGUCAGCAAUACGGCGGUGAAUACGUUCCCGAGCCUUGUACACACCGCCCGUCACGCCACGGGAGUUGGCCUUUCCCGAAGCUUUCGUUGAGAAGGUGAAGGAAGGGCUGGUAACUGGGGUGAAGUCGUAACAAGGUAACC
rnacentral:rRNA from 1 species